UACGGAGGGGGCUAGCGUUGUUCGGAAUACUGGGCGUAAAGCGCGCGUAGGCGGACCUACAAGUCGGGGGUGAAAGCCCGAGGCUCAACCUCGGAACUGCCUUCGAUACUGCGGGUCUCGAGUCCGGGAGAGGUGAGUGGAAUUCCUAGUGUAGCGGUGAAAUGCGUAGAUAUUGGGAGGAACACCAGUGGCGAAGGCGGCUACCUGGACCGGUUCUGACGCUGAGGCGCGAAAGCGUGGGUAGCAAACAGG
rnacentral:rRNA from 1 species